CCCUAUGGGGUGCAGCAGGCGCGAAACCUUUACAAUGCACGCAAGUGUGAUAAGGGAACCCAAAGUGCUCAGGUUUUAACCUGGGCUUUUGCCAAAUGUAAAUAGUUUGGCGAAUAAGUGGUGGGUAAGACGGGUGCCAGCCGCCGCGGUAACACCUGCGCCACAAGUGGGAACCAUAAUUAUUGGGCCUAAAGCGUCCGUAGCUGGUCAAGUAAAUCUUUUGUGAAAUCAUCAGGCUUAACUUGAUGACGUGCAGGAGACACUGCUUGGCUUGGGACCGGGAGGAGCUGGAAGUAUGCUGGGGGGAGCGGUAAAAUGCUAUAAUCCUCAGUAGACUACCUGUGGCGAGGGCGUCCAGCUAGAACGGAUCCGACGGUGAGGGACGAAAGCCAGGGGAGCGAACCGGAUUAGAUACCCGAGUAGUCCUGGCUGUAAACUCUGCGAGCUAGGUGUUACAUAUCCGCUAGGAUAUGUAGUGUCGAAGAGAAGUCGUUUAGCUCGCCGCCUGGGAAGUAUGGUCGCAAGACUGAAACUUAAAGGAAUUGGCGGGGGAGCACCACAAGGGGUGCGGCGUGCGGUUCAAUCUAAUUCAACGCAGAAAAUCUCACCAGAGGCGACGGCAGGAUGAAAGUCAGGCUAAAGACCUUACUUGACGAGCCGAGAAGUAGUGCAUGGCC
rnacentral:rRNA from 1 species